UGGACUGGAGGUUACAUGUUGACGGUGGGAUGAGGUAGUAGGUUGUAUAGUUUUAGGGUCACACCCACACUGGGAGAUAACUAUACAACCUACUGUCUUUCUCAAAGUCCAAAUCAAGCUACAGAGUUUCA
rnacentral:precursor_RNA from 8 species